UACGGGGGGGCAAGCGGUUGUUCGGAAUUACUGGGCGUAAAGGGUGCGUAGGCGGCUUUCUAAGUUGGAUGUGAAAACUCUGGGCUCAACCCAGAGACUGCAUCCAAAACUGGAGAGCUUGGGUUCUGGAGGGGAAAGCGGAAUUCCUGGUGUAGCGGUGGAAAUGACGUAGAUAUCAGGAGGAACACCAGUGGCGAAGGCGGCGACCUGGGCCAAUACUGACGCUGAGGUGACGAAAGCGUGGGGAGCAAACAGG
rnacentral:rRNA from 1 species